rnacentral:piRNA from 1 species
CUCUCCUGAAAUGGUUUCUGGGUGGCAGA